rnacentral:lncRNA from 1 species
AUAGGGGCAUACUCAUAUAAAAAAUUUCCUAACUAAACCAAUUGGGGUGAUAGACCCGCGAAGCAAAAGCAUUUUUCCUAGCAUUGAACCUUACUUCAAAGACUGGAAAGCUUACAACACAGGUAAUAGAGCGAAGCCUUAGGCUGAUAAACUGAUUGAAGGCAGACCAAGAGCAUUACCUACGAGGAUUUAUUAGGAUGGCUCAAAGACUGAUUCGGUCUUUUCCUCAAAGGCGGAUACGAUUGAAUUCGCUUUGGACUACGAGAGAGCUAGACAGCGGGGAUGAAAGGUUUGCGAGGAAGAAUCAAUGGCCAAUGGUUCUACAACUGCAACAGCACUUACUGAU